UACGUAGGGUGCGAGCGUUGUCCGGAAUUAUUGGGCGUAAAGAGCUUGUAGGCGGUUUGUCGCGUCUGCUGUGAAAAUCCGGGGCUCAACUCCGGACUUGCAGUGGGUACGGGCAGGCUAGAGUGUGGUAGGGGAGACUGGAAUUCCUGGUGUAGCGGUGGAAUGCGCAGAUAUCAGGAGGAACACCCGUGGCGAAAGCGGCUCUCUGGGACGGUACUGACGCUGAGACGCGAAAGCGUGGGGAGCAAACAGG
rnacentral:rRNA from 1 species